rnacentral:rRNA from 1 species
GCUCGAAUUUAAAUCUGGCGGUGUUUCACUGUCCGAGUUGUAACCUAGAGAAGUGUAACCUGUACUGGACCGUGUACAAGUCUCCUGGAAUGGAGCAUCACAGAGGGUGAGAAUCCCGUCUUUGACAUGGACUACCAGUGCAUUGUGGUUGUGCUCUCAACGAGUCGAGUUGUUUGGGAAUGCAGCUCUAAAUGGGUGGUAAAUUCCAUCUAAAGCUAAAUAUUGGCGAGAGACCGAUAGCGAACAAGUACCGUGAGGGAAAGAUGAAAAGAACUUUGGAAAGAGAGUUAAACAGUAUGUGAAAUUGUUGAAAGGGAAACGUUUGAAGUCAGUCGCAUUGGCUGGGGAUCAACCUUACAUUUCUGUUGGGUGUACUUCCUGGUUGAUGGGCCAACAUCAGU